rnacentral:rRNA from 1 species
GACGAACGCUGGCGGCGUGCCUAAUACAUGCAAGUCGAACGCAGUGGGGACGGGUGAGUAACACGUGGGUAACCUCCCAUCAGAGGGGAUAACACUUGGAAACAGGUGCUAAACCGAUACUGAUGGAUGGACCCGCGGUGAAUUAGCUAGUUGGUGAGGGAACGGCUCACCAAGGCCACGAUGCAUAGCCUACCUGAGAGAGUGAUCGGCAACACUGAAACAGAGACACGGCCCAGACUCCUACGGGAGGGUGCAGUAGGGAAUCUUCGGAAAUGGACGAAAGUCUGACAGAGCAACGCCGCAUGAGUGAAGAGGGUUUUCGGAUCGUAAAGCUCUGUUGUUAGAGAAGCGGUAUCUAACCAGAAAGCCACGGCUAACUACGUGCCAGCAGCCGCGGUAAUUC